rnacentral:rRNA from 1 species
AUUGAACGCUGGCGGCAUGCCUUACACAUGCAAGUCGAACGGCAGCACGGGUGCUUGCCCCUGGUGGCGAGUGGCGAACGGGUGAGUAAUACAUCGGAACAUGUCCUGUAGUGGGGGAUAGCCCGUCGAAAGCCGGAUUAAUACCGCAUACGAUCUACGGAUGAAAGCGGGGGACCUUCGGGCCUCGCGCUAUAGGGUUGGCCGAUGGCUGAUUAGCUAGUUGGUGGGGUAAAGGCCUACCAAGGCGACGAUCAGUAGCUGGUCUGAGAGGACGACCAGCCACACUGGGACUGAGACACGGCCCAGACUCCUACGGGAGGCAGCAGUGGGGAAUUUUGGACAAUGGGCGAAAGCCUGAUCCAGCAAUGCCGCGUGUGUGAAGAAGGCCUUCGGGUUGUAAAGCACUUUUGUCCGGAAAGAAAUCCUUGGCCCUAAUACGGUCGGGGGAUGACGGUACCGGAAGAAUAAGCACCGGCUAACUACGUA